UGCAAAAGUAAUUGCGGGUUUUGCAAUUAAAAGUAAUGACAAAAACCACAAUUACUUUUGCAUCAACCU
ensembl:miRNA